CGUCUAUAUACGUAUAGCAUAUCAAUAAGCGGAGGAAAAGAAACUAACAAGGAUUCCCUUAGUAACGGCGAGUGAAGCGGGAAGAGCUCAAAUUUGAAAUCUUCAAGGUUUUACCUUGACGAAUUGUAGUUUAAAGAAGUGUUUUCUGUUGGAAUUUUCGGUAAAAGUUCUUUGGAAAUAGGACAUCAAUAGAGGGUGAGAAUCCCGUAUUUGACCAUUAUUUCCAGCUUUGUGAUACACUUUCAAAGAGUCGGAUUGUUUGGGAAUGCAGUCCAAAAUGGGUGGUAAAUUUCAUCUAAAGCUAAAUACUGGCGAGAGACCGAUAGCGAACAAGUACCGUGAGGGAAAGAUGAAAAGAACUUUGAAAAGAGAGUUAAACAGUACGUGAAAUUGUCAAAAGGGAAGCGUUUGACACCAGUGUUGUUUUCUCGAAAAUCAAUUAAAAAUGGUGGGAUUUUGUGUUGUAUUGACUUUAUCAGCUUUCUGCACUUUUUUCCUAUCUUUUUUAAUGCACUUUUCGUUUAACAAGUCAACAUCAAUUUCUUUUGCUUGUAAAAGAGGUCAUUGGAAGGUGGCUUUCUUUUCGGAGAAAGUGUUUAUAGCCUUUGACUUCUGCAGUCGGAGAGAUUGAGGUCUGCAGCGUAGAUCCUUCGGGGUUAGAUACAUUUGUGCUAAGUUAUAGCCUUUCAUAGACAACUUGUUGACUAUGAUCAGUCAUGUAGCUUACUCGCUUAUGUUAUUUUACCUACGCUUAGGAUGUUGACGAUCAGCUGAGCGCG
rnacentral:rRNA from 1 species